AAUACGGCAAGGCCUCAGUUUGAGAUUUUCCCGUAACGACCUCACUCUCGGUUAUCAAGUAGUUAAUAGCUGCGCGCUAAGUAUGACCAGCGACUCAACGCGUUAGAACAUAGAACUUCUUUGCUCUGUCAAAGGGCUGUCGCUCACAACGUCUGCUUUUAAUUCGCUAUGGCGGUUAAUUUACUUUUAUCAAAUCCGAGUUGAUAAACAGCUGAGUGAUUCACUUGCUUGUUAACUGAAAAAAAGUCAGUUACAGACUGGUUAAAAUCCUAUUGUCUCGAUCAUUCCUUGGGAGAUUAUAUUUUGCUUUUGCGUUACGUCCGUGAUGCACGCGCUCUGCGAAAACCAGAAAUUGUUUUCAACAGUACAUCUUCUGAUGUCAUUUUUCACAAGAUGGCUCGUUGAAAUUUUUCUACCUUACAAGUUGUCAAUUUUAAUUUUCUUUUUAAUUUUUAUAUCCAUUAUGUGUCGCACAUCAACCGGGGAGAACAUUUUAUUUCGUUUUGUUCAUCCUUAACAUUUAACUUCUGAACUGAUUGUUAGAAACUUCAAGUUGAUAAACAAUUAAGUGAUCCACUUACUUCUCGACUCACAAAAAGUCAUAGCUACUUGUUAAAUUCCGUUUAUUGCAUCAUUCCUUCGGAGAUAACAUUUUGCUUCUCUGUUACGCUCGAGAUGCGCUGACGUGAUGCAAACACAUCAUAAUAUCCGCGCUUAAACUGGUAAUUUAUGCUGAUCUAAAAUUAUCACAAAUUUCUGUUGGCGCCCAGCGUAAAAUGGUUCGAAAUGAUAAGUAAUAGAUACUGAUAUGAUAAAAGAAAAAGAAUAAACUGGUUCACUGACUUUAUCAUACUAAUUUGCUCUAUACAUAAAAGCCACGGUCGAAUGUCAAAGCGCAUUAGAACUUCAAAGGGGCUUAAGGUGCGUUAUUGAAGUUUGCGGUGCUGUCAUUUUGUGGCUGAAAAGUUUCCGCGGUAAGUAAAACUUUUCUAUUCUGUCGACCACACCAAGCCAAACGGCAUUAAAGUCAGAGCAAAAGCUAAACAGAAAUUUGUUGGGAUUUAUCGGAGAAUUAUGUUAUGUGUCCACCACCGUGAAUGCGCCGUAGAAGCAUCACGUUUCUCGUAAGAGCUGAAAAACUGAGGAGCCUUUUCCUUUCAGCUUUUCAUGUCGCGAGCUCAUGAUUCUUUCGGAGAAAGCGCAAAUUAUUUGCGACAAGCUUGUGUAUGUCGGACCAAACGUAAUAAAGAUUUUUCGUGACGCCAAAACUGCGCUUUUUGAGACUCAUUAAUUUGGUGUGAUAUUUAAGCGAAUGAUCUUGUUGGGCAACUACAAGACGAAAAACAAAUAAGAAAGAUUGACUGGUUACUCGUAUACUAAUGCAAAUGCUGCGAUCUGAUUGGCUGAGCUAAUCGUACACUAUCAGCCAUCGGUGUGCAGUGGUUGUAGUGCAGUGGUUGAACGUUUUCUCGUUUUCCCGAAGUUUCGAAGGAACAUUUAGAAACAAGUGGAUGGUUAGAUUGAAAAAGAGGGACACUCACGAGUUGCUGUCGUUAAAAUCUCGAAAUUGUUGAAUAAAAACUGAUGCGCGCGCACAAAACUGCAAAUUUAAACAAUUCAGUCCGCGCUAGAAAUUUCUCGAUUUCUAGGAAGUGAUAGUUGAUUCGGUCUUUGGUUUCAUCAACUAACACCUUAUAAAAUCUCGAGUUCAUAUUCUAAUUGUUAAAGCGAAGAUAGUACUGACUUCAUUAUAAUUACAGGAUGAAUUAGCCUUUUCACGGACUGAAUAAACCUUUCUAGCAUAAUCAGAUACGCACUAGAUUUUUGAGACGCAUAAAUAACCCUUGAUGGACUGAACUAUAGGCUCUUUGCACGACCCGGUCACAUGGCACAAAAUUAACCAUGCUGGGACGCAAGUGUCAUGUAAAUCGUCGAAGCCAUGCACAAAUACAGUCGAGCAAAAUGAAAAAAAAAACAAAAACAAAAACAAAAACAAAAAAAAACAGACAAAGACAUGAAAAAACUUUACUUAAUUUCCAGGGUGUAUGUCUAAGAGAGAGAUGAUUGUAUUUCGGUACUAUUUUGUUUUCAAUGAAAAUAUUUCAAAAUGUCUUACAGAUCCUUGUCUUGAUUUUAUCGUAAGGACUGUUUUGUUAUCAUGAAGACUAUUGGUGUUGUCAUACUUGCUGUUCUCAUUGUUGCCGUGACGUCACGCAUUCCGCGUUACCACCGUAAACUAUCAGAUGGAAGAGGUAUGUUUCUUUUCAUAGGAAUUGAUUUUUUUUUUUUUUUUUAUAUAUCAAUGGACAAGCACUCUUUUGUCAUUACCACUAACAAAGGAAAAUCUCAUCGAAAAUCACGGCAAGGUUGUCUGUACCUUAAUGGUUAAAAGAAAUUUCCCAAGUGAAAGUGAGCGUGUAUAAGCAGAAAGACAUUGUUUAUUUUGCUAGUACCUCGUCUACCUGGAUAUUUCCCACUUUUCUUUUGGCUACUCUCCUUGAAAAUGGGAUAUUCACCAUGGUGAGUAAGAGGGUACGUUACCAAGAAAAAAAUUAUCAUCAGCUCCUAACAAAACUUCUUACAAUUUGAUUUAGACUGUAAGUUCAGCUACCCUCUUGUCCAAGCUUUCCUCACUUGCAUCGGGAGCUCUUAAAAGGAAGAAGACACGGCUAGCCAAACAUAAAAUGGUGUUGCGAAAGACUAACAUAGUUCCUUUACUGAUAAGGAUAUCUAGAUAAUGUAGAUGGAUUGUUUCCAAGCCAAAAUCAAACUCUUCUGCCUUAGCCAAAAAGAAACACCUUAAAAUAAAUUUACUUCAUCGUGAUUUAGCCUACAGAAGGGCAUCAAAAUCUUCUAUUUCAAUUCCAGGAAGACUGAAUGCUUUCGAAGUGCGUGUUGACGAUAAAGAAGCAAGAGGAUUUUUGAAGUCUCGAGAUCCCUGCGAUAACACCUGCUACAGUAACUGUCUGAGAGAGAGAGCAGCAGGCCGUGCCUCGAGCUGCUCCCAUUGUGGUUCAGACUGUUAAUUAUCCGUGUCUCAAGAACCGUGCAUACGUAAGAGACAAAGAAACCACGGAUCCUUCAGCGUGGCGUGUUUGAAGCAUUUCUUCUAGUUCUUAGUACAUUUUCUUAGUACAUUUUCUUAGUACAUUUUGGUUUCGUAGAUUUUAAAAUAUUUCAUCCAGGUGAGAAUCAAGAGAGAUUAUUGAGGUAGCAAACUUCAGCGUGUUGGACAGUUCAACAGUUGGCAAAUAUUCAGAUAUAGCCCAUUAAGAAUUUCGUGCUUUUUGCAAAACAAAAAAAAAAAAAUGGUAUCGAUUAGUGUUGUCUUGUCAAUUUUAAAUACACCAAAAUGACCGGAAUAAACGUGUGGGUUAGCUGAA